AUUGAACGCUGGCGGCAGGCCUAACACAUGCAAGUCGAGCGAGCGGCGGACGGGUGAGUAAUGUCUGGGAAACUGCCUGAUGGCGGGGGAUAACUACUGGAAACGGUAGCUAAUACCGCAUACCAUCAGAUGUGCCCAGAUGGGAUUAGCUAGUAGGUGGGGUAAUGGCUCACCUAGGCGACGAUGCCUAGCCGACCUGAGAGGGUGAUCGGCCACACUGGAACUGAGACACGGUCCAGACUCCUACGGGAGGCAGCAGUAGGGAAUCUUCCGCAAUGGGCGAAAGCCUGACGGAGCAACGCCGCGUGAGUGAUGAAGGUCUUCGGAUCGUAAAGCACUUUCAGCGGGGAGGCGUUACUCGCAGAAGAAGCACCGGCUAACUCCGUGCCAGCAGCCGCGGUAAUUC
rnacentral:rRNA from 1 species